rnacentral:rRNA from 1 species
AGUGAACGCUGGCGGUAGGCCUAACACAUGCAAGUCGAACGGCAGCACAGUAAGAGCUUGCUCUUACGGGUGGCGAGUGGCGGACGGGUGAGGAAUACAUCGGAAUCUACUUUUUCGUGGGGGAUAACGUAGGGAAACUUACGCUAAUACCGCAUACGACCUACGGGUGAAAGCAGGGGAUCUUCGGACCUUGCGCGAUUGAAUGAGCCGAUGUCGGAUUAGCUAGUUGGCGGGGUAAAGGCCCACCAAGGCGACGAUCCGUAGCUGGUCUGAGAGGAUGAUCAGCCACACUGGAACUGAGACACGGUCCAGACCCCUACGGGAGGCAGCAGUGGGGAAGAUUGGCCAAUGGGCGCAAGCCUGAUCCAGCCAUACCGCGUGGGUGAAGAAGGCCUUCGGGUUGUAAAGCCCUUUUGUUGGGAAAGAAAAGCAGCAGGUUAAUACCCCGCUGUUCUGACGGUACCCAAAGAAUAAGCACCGGCUAACUUCGUG